rnacentral:lncRNA from 1 species
GCUCUCAAAUGCCUUGUUAGGUAUUGUAUAUUUUUCUCUCAACAUUCUUCUCUAUCUCAAUUGCAGAUCGAAUAUACUACAUAAGUCGGAUGAGGAAAUCAAAUUUAUUGAAAAAGUAAUAGAAUUAAAAUUUUAAUGUAGAUAUGAAAGCUCACAAUCACUUGUUACUACAAUUUCUUUACUAAUAUGAUAAAACAUAAUCCAUCAGUAAUUGGCAGUACAACUUCAUAAUUCAUCAGUAAUUUCUUUACACAUUGGAAGUGUUGUCAUGCUUGAAAUGAGUUGAAGGCAAAGGAGAAGCAGCUGUAGCAGUAGGACAAGUACCGGGAGGUGGAGUUGGUACACCAAAAACUUGGGGAUUGGUUCUGAGAUCUUGUCGACCUUUAGCUCUCCCAAGAAAAUAACACCCAAAUCCAAUAAAUAUUGUGAAUAUUAUAAAUGGAAGUGAUAUAACCACUACCAUACCCAUCUCUUGCUUUCUUUUUUGUUCUUUGUUGCUGGUGGGUGACGGAAUGCAGAGAAUAUGGAGGAAGAAGGUCUAGAUUUUGUGUAUGGAAGAUUCUAUGUGUAGAAAUUGAUGUUUUUAAAGAGUUGGGUGAGCUGGAUUCUAACGGUAGGCUUAACGUUCAAGCUUCUAACGGAUACUUUUUGUUUAUUGGCCACUUCAUUUUUCCAUAGAGAGAGAGAUGGAAU